GCAGUGACGAUGGAUUAGAGCUUGCUCUUAUGAAGUUAGCGGCGGAGGGUGUAAAACGUGGGUAACCUGCCCAUAAGACUGGGAUAACUCCGGCUAAACCGGGGCUAAUACCGGAUAACAUUUUGAACUGCAUGGUUCGAAAUUGAAAGGCGGCUUCGGCUGUCACUUAUGGAUGGACCCGCGUCGCAUUAGCUAGUUGGUGAGGUAACGGCUCACCAAGGCAACGAUGCGUAGCCGACCUGAGAGGGUGAUCGGCCACACUGGGACUGAGACACGGCCCAGACUCCUACGGGAGGCAGCAGUAGGGAAUCUUCCGCAAUGGACGAAAGUCUGACGGAGCAACGCCGCGUGAGUGAUGAAGGCUUUCGGGUCGUAAAACUCUGUUGUUAGGGAAGAACAAGUGCUAGUUGAAUAAGCUGGCACCUUGACGGUACCUAACCAGAAAGCCACGGCUAACUACGUGCCAGCAGCCGCGGUAAUACGUAGGUGGCAAGCGUUAUCCGGAAUUAUUGGGCGUAAAGCGCGCGCAGGUGGUUUCUUAAGUCUGAUGUGAAAGCCCACGGCUCAAACCGUGGAGGGGUCAUUGGAAACUGGGAGACUUGAGUGCAGAAGAGGAAAGUGGAAUUUCCAUGUGUAGCGGUGAAAUGCGUAGGAGAAUAUGGAGGAACCACCAGUGGGCGAAGGCGACUUUCUGGUCUGUAAACUGACCACUGGAGGCGCCGAAAGCGUGGGGGAGCAAACAGGAUUAGAUACCCUGGGUAGUCCACGCCGUAAACGAUGAGUGCCUAAGUUGGUUAGAGGGUUUUCCCGCCCCUUUAGUUGCCUGAAGUUAACCGCAUUAAGGCACCUCCCGGCCCUUGGGGGUAGUUA
rnacentral:rRNA from 1 species